rnacentral:lncRNA from 1 species
GGCACAGUGAAUCCACAGCAUAGAGAAGAGCAGCAGGAGACACACAAAAACAGAACAUACACCAUUUUCAUAAUGAGAAAUGACUAGAUGGAGAAAAAACUACCUACAAUCUCUGGAGGAGAGGAGACACGGAGCCACCAAGAAGUGAGCAGAUUUUCUCCACCAUAAUGUACCUGUUAUGAUGCUCUGCCUCACCACAGACCAAAAUGCGACCUCAUUAAGGCCACAGGACCAUGGACUGAAACUGAAAGGUACUCCAGCCUUUUAGAGGGGAAGUCUGAGAAGCUCUGAAACUUGAGGUGCCUACAAAGACAACUCAGCUGUUGUUGCCAAGGAACUAACAUGUCUGAGUUCUGGUAUCAGUAUCACUGGCUCCUGCUCAAAUAGCACAAACGAAAGAUGUAAAGUCAUUAGAGAAAAAGAACAGUUUGGUUUGAUCACUUGCACUGAGGUAAGCAUUCUGCCAUAUUCUGAGCAACUUUAAGGGAAUACCUACGUUGUGUGGUGAGGAACCGAGGGCCUCAGACCAACAAUGCAGAGAAACUGAAGCCUGCUAACAACCAGGUGCUGCUGAUCUAGAAGUCUUAAUUCCAAAAAGAAAAAUGCUUCCUCCAGGCACAUAACAAUGGGUCCACUGAAUUAAAGGCUGAGACUGUCACCUGACCAUUUUGGGCUCCUAAUGCUAUUGAGUCAACAGUUAGAUUGGACCACAAGAAUGAGUCUCAUGGAUGAUUUGGAUGGUGUAAAUGAAGCAACAGCCAUUGGGUAGCUCACAUACUUGGUUUGCUGCCUCUUCUUGCUGAUGUGAACUGUGGCUAGGACUAGAACUACUCUACCUUCUCCUCAAUCUUCCUGAGCCUCUGUGACUUCUACACCAGGAAACGAGAGUGGAGAGAGAGAGAGAGAGAACUGACACAGGUUUUAGGCUGUCCUCAUUGACUCACUGCCUCCAGUUUGUGCCUGGGAGUUCUAGUUUGUUCUUGCUCUUCCUGUUUUACAUCCUGACCACUUGCCUCAAGAACUUCAAGGUCCAGCAUUAGAUGCAAUCACAAUAGCUUUAUGGAGACUGUUCAGUAAACAACCACAACUGCAUAAGAGGCAGACAGACGACUGGGUCCUGAGCCUGAAGCAUUCUUCAAUGUGACCUUGACUCUUGCAUUUUAUACUGCUAAAUUCAACCAAGCAAUCUUCCGGGUUCUGUACGGUGGUGGAAGCAGCAGCCCAUUGAGCCAGAGACCAACACUUCUGGGCAUAUGGAACCCAAGAGCGGAAAGCUUGCUGCGUUUCUCGGAAACUUCAGCUAAGGAAGGGCAGCCUCUGGAAAGUGAAGAAAUGGCACACUCACGGGAUGAGGCGGGAAAUGCCAUAGAGCCGGGGAGUCCAGCACCUGCCUAGGCCACACUGUGUACCGGAAGCAGUUUGCGUCCCCGAAUAAACUUAGAUACAAGUCCAGUAAAAACCAGAGUCCUCAUCAUCACCCAACAAGGGAGGUACUAUUGUCUUUGUUUAAUGGAUGAAGACACUAAACCUGCAAGGGUAAGAGUCUUGCCACAAGUGGGUCACAAAUCUAAGAAGUGGAUCACAUAUCUAAGAAGUGGAUCACAUAUAGAUUGUAAAGGCAGAGACACAGAGGGAGAGCACUAUGUGAUGUUGAAAGCAGAGAUUGGAGUUAUGCAGUUUUGAGACAAAGUGAAAGGGGAGUAAAAAGCAACCAGAGAAAAGAAGCAGAUGGGGAAACCGCUUGUGAGAAUGCCUUGUUCUGCAAAACCUUAUCACAGGGGCAGCAAGGGGAGCUGCCUUCUAUGUGACCUUACCUGAGUAGUUCCCAAAUCCUUGUUCUUGGACAUGGGAGGGCUGGAUGCCCAAAAAUCUCCUGAGGAACAUGAAUUACAAAACCCAAGAAAAACAGAACCCCUGGCUUCACUCUGAUUUGGAGGGAUAAAGUGGGGUGUAGCAGGGUUAGCAAGUCUUAGUCCAAUGGACCAGUGUCUUAGUCUAUUUUGGGCUGCUAUCAUAGAAUACUCGACCCUGGCUAAUUUAUGCAGAACAGAGAUUCGUUUCUUACAGUUCUGCAGACUGGGAAGUUCAAGGGUGAGGAGCCUGCAUCUUCUAAGGAACUUCUCGCUACAUCUUUGGAUGGUAGAAGCAGAAGACAAG